CCCUACGGGGUGCAGCAGGCGCGAAACCUUUACAAUGUACGAAAGUGUGAUAAGGGAAUCCUAAGUGCUCAUGCACAGCAUGGGCUUUUGCUAAGGGUAAAUACCUUGGAGAAUAAGUGGUGGGUAAGACUGGUGCCAGCAGCCGCGGUAACACCAGCGCCACGAGUGGGAAUCAUUUUUAUUUGGCCUAAAGCGUCCGUAGCUGGCUAGUGUAAAUCUUUUGUGAAAUCGAUGAGCUUAACUUAUCGGCAUGCAGAAGACACUGCCUGGCUCGAGACCGGAAGGGGUAAGGAGUAUUCAUAGGGGACCGGUAAAAUGGGAUAAUCCUUUGAAGACUACCUGUGGCGAAGGCGCCUUACCAGUACGGCUCUGACAGUGAGGGACGAAGGCUAGGGGAGCGAACCGGAUUAGAUACCCGAGUAGUCCUAGCAGUAAACGCUGUGGGCUAGGUGUUGCACCAUCUAAGAGAUUGUGCAGUGUCGAAGCGAAGGCAUUAAGCCCACCGCCUGGGAAGUAUGGUCGCAAGACUGAAACUUAAAGGAAUUGGCGGGGGAGCAC
rnacentral:rRNA from 1 species